rfam:Sorghum bicolor cultivar BTx623 chromosome 10, whole genome shotgun sequence.
ACCAAUUCAGGAGGAUGACUCUGUUCCUCUUUGUAUAAUGGCUUGGACGCGACAUGCUAUUCUAGUAAAUAGAUGUGUGGUUAUAUCCUGAUUGGUGGUGUUCUUUGUGCCAAUCCAAUCCUGGAAAGGCCACAUAAAUUC